AUUGAACGCUGGCGGCAGGCCUAACACAUGCAAGUCGAGCGGUAGAGAGGUGCUUGCAUCUCUUGAGAGCGGCGGACGGGUGAGUAAUGCCUAGGAAUCUGCCUAGUGGUGGGGGGAUAACGUUCGGAAACGGACGCUAAUACCGCAUACGUCCUACGGGAGAAAGCGGGGGAUCUUCGGACCUCGCGCCAUUAGAUGAGCCUAGGUCGGAUUAGCUAGUUGGUGAGGUAAUGGCUCACCAAGGCGACGAUCCGUAACUGGUCUGAGAGGAUGAUCAGUCACACUGGAACUGAGACACGGUCCAGACUCCUACGGGAGGCAGCAGUGGGGAAUAUUGGACAAUGGGCGAAAGCCUGAUCCAGCCAUGCCGCGUGUGUGAAGAAGGUCUUCGGAUUGUAAAGCACUUUAAGUUGGGAGGAAGGGUAGUAACCUAAUACGUUGCUACUUUGACGUUACCGACAGAUAAGCACCGGCUAACUUCGUGCCAGCAGCCG
rnacentral:rRNA from 1 species